GACGAACGCUGGCGGUGUGCUUAACACAUGCAAGUCGAACGGUAAGGCCCUUUCGGGGGUACACGAGUGGCGAACGGGUGAGUAACACGUGAGUAACCUGCCCUCAUCUCUGGGAUAACAGUCGGAAACGGUUGCUAAUACUGGAUAUGAGCUUGCAAGGCAUCUUGUGGGUUGGAAAGAUUUUUUUUGGUUGGGGAUGGACUCGCGGCCUAUCAGCCUGUUGGUGAGGUAGUGGCUCACCAAGGCUUCGACGGGUAGCCGGCCUGAGAGGGCGACCGGCCACAUUGGGACUGAGAUACGGCCCAAACUCCUACGGGAGGCAGCAGUGGGGAAUAUUGCACAAUGGACGGAAGUCUGAUGCAGCAACGCCGCGUGCGGGAUGACGGCCUUCGGGUUGUAAACCGCUUUCAAUUGUGACGAAGCUUUUUUGUGACGGUAGCAGUAGAAGAAGCACCGGCUAACUACGUG
rnacentral:rRNA from 1 species